UACGGGGGGGGCAAGCGUUGUUCGGAAUUACUGGGCGUAAAGGGCUCGUAGGCGGCCAACUAAGUCAGACGUGAAAUCCCUCGGCUUAACCGGGGAACUGCGUCUGAUACUGGAUGGCUCGAGUUUGGGAGAGGGAUGCGGAAUUCCAGGUGUAGCGGUGAAAUGCGUAGAUAUCUGGAGGAACACCGGUGGCGAAGGCGGCACCCUGGACCAACACUGACGCUGAGGAGCGAAAGCCAGGGGAGCAAACGGG
rnacentral:rRNA from 1 species